rnacentral:rRNA from 1 species
CCUACGGGGGGCUGCAGUGAGGAAUAUUGGUCAAUGGACGAGAGUCUGAACCAGCCAAGUAGCGUGAAGGAUGACUGCCCUAUGGGUUGUAAACUUCUUUUAUAUGGGAAUAAAACGUUCCACGUGUGGGAUUUUGUAUGUACCAUAUGAAUAAGGAUCGGCUAACUCCGUGCCAGCAGCCGCGGUAAUACGGAGGAUCCGAGCGUUAUCCGGAUUUAUUGGGUUUAAAGGGAGCGUAGGUGGAUUGUUAAGUCAGUUGUGAAAGUUUGCGGCUCAACCGUAAAAUUGCAGUUGAAACUGGCAGUCUUGAGUACAGUAGAGAUGGGCGGAAUUCGUGGUGUAGCGGUGAAAUGCUUAGAUAUCACGAAGAACUCCGAUUGCGAAGGCAGUUCACUGGACUGCAACUGACACUGAGGCUCGAAAGUGUGGGUAUCAAACAGGAUUAGAUACCCUUGUAGUC